ensembl:lncRNA
GGCAUUUGCUGACCUAGACCCGGGGCAGGAAGUCUAAACUCUGAGUGGAGGAUCUCCAAUUAAACAGGUCAAUAAUACCUUUGGCACCACAAAGACUUUCCCUCUAGAGCAAGAGAGGCUGGGAGAGAUGAUCGUAGGGUGAUUCACAAGAUAUGCUGGGCUUGAGAAUAGAAGUACACGCUGCUCGUGGGACUUUUAAGAUAUGGAUUUAAGACAAGUAGAAUCACCUGCCAUACUGGCAGAGAUACAUUUCAUGCUUGUGGAAGCAGGAUCAGACUUGUUUGGAGCCAAUCAUAGGAGGAAGUUCCCACAAGACAGAGUGUGGUUGACAACUUUCGAACAAUCUAAACUGUUGAAACAUGGAGCCAGGCUGCCUCUGAGAAAAGUCACACCAGUGUGGGGUGUGGUGGAGGCUGGUGAUGCUGGAGUAGUUGUAAUAUUUCUCUUGAAAUUUGUGCUGCUGCUUUGCAAGACCAAUGGGAUCAUCAAAGUAUGUCCCACUCUUUAGCAAAAUGGGCUCCAUAGAAUACUAAUUCCAUGAGAUCCAUGUCCUAGGGCCAACGUGAAAGAAUGUUGCCCAUCCAUAGCCCCCAUCCUCUUGUAGAUUUGCAUGUAAAGGCUCUGAGAAAGGCUGGAGUAAAGAAACCUGUUUCAUUUUGAAUAAUCCUGCGUUUCUCUAACUUCUUUGACUAUGGUGACCAUUUUUACCUAAUACUACUAUCCUUCUGGGGGCUGAUGCUCCAUAGUGAACCCUUUGGGUAACAUUUUUGGGUAAUCCCAUGGAUUCAGUAGUCACAGACACAGGGUCCCACAGAAUGCAGAAUUUUUUGACUAAAGAAAGCAAAGGCCCGAAAGGGUUAUACGAAAGUAAUGACCAAUGGCCAUUAACCCUGACCUACAAGAACUUGAAAUUUUAAAAUGUCAACAAAUGACUGUGUAGGAUUAGCUCAUGGAUUAUGAUGUAAUAUUAUAUUAUAUAUAAGGUUAGAUGAGAGUUACAAGAAUUCUGGUUUAUAAAUUGUAAGGUACUGUAUAAAUGGUGAAGAUCCUUCUUCUGCCUAACAUGUCGAUGUUAAUGCUGGCAUCAGGAAGAUAAGUAUAUCCUCCGUGGCUUUCCUGUUUCGUGAGAGUGGUUUGCAUGAACCUCUCCACAGACUCCAUCUUUUAACCACUUUCACGAGUUAGUGAGAUGACCUGUUACCCCAGUGUGGAAGCUUGCAGCAAAGUCAUUGGGCCCCUGGAACGGGACGUCGCAUCUACGACCUUUCAGUCACACCCAGCCAAGCUGACUAGCAAGGGAAGGCACAAAGUUACAAGUAGGGUCAAACCCUCAGCAGAGUUUUAGAUACUGGCUCCUAAUUCUCAUAAACACCUGUGAAGAAAACAAAGUCCUCCAAAUUCUGUGUGGUCAGGACUAAAAAAAAGGAAGAAAAAGAAGAAGAAGGCCGCGUCACCACCACCAAAAGAAAAGAGAGUGAAACAGACAGAAGGACCCGGUUGAUGAAGCCUUGGUAUCUUAUCUCUGGAAUGUUAUUGAUGAUCUGAAUGUAGUGUGAGAUCUUAAGUGAAAUGAAUUGGUGGUUUCAGUUCCGGAUAUAGUAUGCAAAGAAAAAAAAAUUGCUCUUUGAAAUUCAGAGCUUCCUCGUCUGUGCUUCAGGAAGCCACACGCCUGAAGCUGAGCGUGGAAACUGACUCAUUUCUAGCCCUUUGAGAUUAGCCUCUCCAGCCCCCAGACGGUGGGCAGGAUCUGAGGCCUAAUGGGAAACCAGAAUUGGGUCUGGCCAAACCUGGAGGAGAUCACAGAGAAGGUUGUCGGAUGAAUGUCUCUUUUAGGGUACGUGACCUCUCAGAAGGUUCUACAGGCAGUGGACCUUCUGGAUAAACUAUCCUCGAAGCUUUUCAACUUGCAGUCGGUGGUAGGUGGGUGGUCUGAAGUGGGAGAAAACAAAAAUACAAGUACAGCACUUACCUUAUUAUGAGAGUCACAUUCAGGUCACGAUGUUCUAGGCAAAGCUCCCUGUUGAUGUACAUCUCUCAUGCAAGAUUUAGAUCACCUCUUUUCGGGCAGAGCUCCAUGGAAACACCGCCC